CAACUUGAGAGUUUGAUCCUGGCUCAGAACGAACGCUGGCGGCAGGCCUAACACAUGCAAGUCGAACGCCCUAGCAAUAGGGAGUGGCAGACGGGUGAGUAACACGUGGGAAUAUACCCUUCGGUACGGAAUAACUCAGGGAAACUUGUGCUAAUACCGUAUACGUCCUGGCGGAGAAAGAUUUAUCGCCGAAGGAUUAGCCCGCGUCUGAUUAGCUAGUUGGUGAGG
rnacentral:rRNA from 1 species